UGUCUCUCACUCAGUGUUUAUCCACUCCUUUUGAUCCAGUCUCUUUCACAACUAAAUCAGAAAUCCUUGUAUCACGUUGAAUAAACUGGAUAAAUAUCAUCUGUGGCGUUCCACAGUCAGGAGAAACAGCCAAAACAGAGGGACCUAUCAAUUUGGGCUCCUUCCAGAACUGAAAACUGGUUACAAAUAUGAAACAGAUUUUACUACUGGACUUGAACUCCACAUAAGAAAAACAAACAAACAAGAUCCUCGAAGAUCCUCAUCAAAGAAUAGAUGCACUGUGACUGGCAGGGAUAUCAAAGAGGUAAGAGGUAAAUUUCUAAUGAAAACAUGUUUUCUCUGUGGUCAGGUAAAUAGAAA
rnacentral:lncRNA from 1 species